rnacentral:lncRNA from 1 species
GGAUGGCCUCUCCUACCAGAUGCAGGCCCACUGUAGAAGAUUUAUAGUACGGCACACGUAUUGUCGAUGAAUACACGCUAUGGCGCUCCGCCAGCAUGUAUAAGAGGCAUUUUCAGCUGCUAGCUAAUGCACCUACACAGGCACAUGCGUUCCACCUUGGAGUUUUGAGCAAUACCCAUGAGCUCGCACUUCUUAACGUGUAAGGUAUUAAUUAAAUUUAUUGGUUUUAAUGGUGAGGUGCUGACGAGACUGGCGGAAUCGGGCGGAGGUUCUAGGGAGGAGGCAUGUAAUUUUAAACCUGAGAGGCAUUGAUGCACUAAUGCUAUCACUAGGACACUACUCUUGCUUUGGUCGGUAUAGCAUGCCAUCCUUGGCCAUUUGGUGGCGGCGUAUUCGGGCCCCUGGCUGGUGUCUGCCAGCAAUCACUACAAAUUUUGAACAACUGGUAGGGUCGUGUCUCAGGCACGGUCUUUGCUUCGUUGGCCAUAGAUCUACAAGACAUGUGGUGCAGCAGCUCUCUCCGGCGUCGCAGGUGGCGUAUGCAGCGUUACACCUCUUGAACGGAAUUCGCUUGCGAAAGGCGGACGGCAGGUAUUGGGCGCAUGAGUUCAUCAUGCGGUACAGGAGGGUGCAGCAGUCGGUAUGCACUGAUACUCCUAGGCUAGUGUGUGUUUCGCGUAUGUAUGUGGGAUAUGGCAUUCGGGCCGUGACACUACAUAGUACCGGCGGGUUCAGGAAUUAUAUAUGUAUAUAUGCAUGCAGGUGCAGUAAACAAUAAUUACUCGCCGUGGCAUGUUGGCAAAAGUGGGCGCUUGGGGCUGCCGACCCGGUGACCAGCUCGUGUGUCUGCUGGUCCCUGUCUUGCGCCUCCGUUUCCCCGCCCAUUGCUGGUUAGCUGUCCAUCCAUCGCAUCAUGUACUGAUGUACAUGAUCGUGCAGUAUGCCUGCACGCGUGAAGGCGCAAGCCGCGGCGGUUGCGCAGGCCCCGCCUCGCCAAUCGUGAGGACUGUAUGCUUCCCAGCUCGUGAUCACAGUAUUUGUCCAAUCGUUCAUAAGGCUCCCAAUCGUUCAUAAGGCUGCUACAUGUAACAUCUGCUGAACUGAUUCCGGUCACGUUCCCUCUCCCGGGUCGUCUGGUCCUUGCUGCUC